GCGCUGCCUAAUACAUGCAAGUCGAGCGGACAGAAGGGAGCUUGCUCCCGGAUGUUAGCGGCGGACGGGUGAGUAACACGUGGGUAACCUGCCUGUAAGACUGGGAUAACUCCGGGAAACCGGAGCUAAUACCGGAUAGUUCCUUGAACCGCAUGGUUCAAGGAUGAAAGACGGUUUCGGCUGUCACUUACAGAUGGACCCGCGGCGCAUUAGCUAGUUGGUGGGGUAAUGGCUCACCAAGGCAACGAUGCGUAGCCGACCUGAGAGGGUGAUCGGCCACACUGGGACUGAGACACGGCCCAGACUCCUACGGGAGGCAGCAGUAGGGAAUCUUCCACAAUGGACGAAAGUCUGACGGAGCAACGCCGCGUGAGUGAUGAAGGUUUUCGGAUCGUAAAGCUCUGUUGUUAGGGAAGAACAAGUGCGAGAGUAACUGCUCGCACCUUGACGGUACCUAACCAGAAAGCCACGGCUAACUACGUGCCAGCAGCCGCAGUAAUACGUAGGUGGCAAGCGUUGUCCGGAAUUAUUGGUCGUAAAGGGCUCGGAGGCUGUUUCUAUGUCUGAUAUGUCAGCGCCCAGCCCAGGCGGGCAGGGG
rnacentral:rRNA from 1 species